rnacentral:lncRNA from 1 species
UACAUACAUACGUUCAUAAAUCCAUACAUAUAGGCAGGCGGCUGGCAGAAGUUAAGGCCUGACUUCUGCUCCCAAUCGAUCCAGUCGACCCGGGUUCAAAUCCGCCUGCCAGCUCCUCGGGUGUUUGAGGAGUGAUGAAAUGGGAGGUGGCCCCCCAUCAUAUGGACGGUGUAGGACGUGAUAAUAUCAACUUGCGAGCUGACCAGGAACUAAGUUGAUGCGCCGUUGAUCCGCUAGAUUUGGUUGGAUGCUGGUGGUGAGUUGCCGAACCCAACGAAUACAUUCUGAAGUCGGAUGGGGUGACGGAUUAGGGUGCCCCUCUAGCAGGGGAGAGCAGGGACUGCCCCGGGAAAGGGGGCCGCUGGCGAAGUUAACCACCCUGUAACAACAUACAUA